rnacentral:tRNA from 1 species
GCCUUCGUGGUGUAGUGGUCUGCAUUCUCGACGCGUAACCGAGAGGUCCGUGGUUCGAUUCCCGGCGAAGACG